rnacentral:misc_RNA from 1 species
AAGUCGUAACAAGGUUUCCGUAGGUGAACCUGCGGAAGGAUCAUUACCGAGUGAGGGUUUCUCUGAAGCCCAACCUCCCACCCGUGUAUACCGUACCCUGUUGCUUCGGCGGGCCCGCCUCACGGCCGCCGGGGGACCUCGCGUCCCCGGGCCCGCGCCCGCCGAAGACCCCAACACGAACACUGUCUGAAAAGUGCAGUCUGAGUCGAUUGUUACCAAUCAGUCAAAACUUUCAACAAUGGAUCUCUUGGUUCCG